rnacentral:rRNA from 1 species
UGCGCAGGUGGCCAAGUGUGUCAGGUGUGAAAUCCCGGGGCUUAACUCCGGAACUGCGCCUGAAACUGCUUGGCUAGAGCAUUGGAGAGGGAAGUGGAAUUCACGGUGUAGCAGUGAAAUGCGUAGAUAUCGUGAGGAACACCAGAGGCGAAGGCGACUUCCUGGACAAUUGCUGACACUCAGGCACGAAAGCGUGGGUAGCCAAAGGGAUUAGAUACCCCUGUAGUCCACGCCCUAAACGGUGCAUACUAGGUCUUGGAGGAUUCGACCCCUUCAGGGCCCAAGCUAACGCGUUAAGUAUGCCGCCUGAGGACUACGGCCGCAAGGCUAAA